CAGUCGUACGCUUCUUUUUCCCCGGAGCUUGCUCCACCGGAAAAAGAAGAGUGGCGAACGGGUGAGUAACACGUGGGUAACCUGCCCAUCAGAAGGGGAUAACACUUGGAAACAGGUGCUAAUACCGUAUAACAAUCGAAACCGCAUGGUUUUGAUUUGAAAGGCGCUUUCGGGUGUCGCUGAUGGAUGGACCCGCGGUGCAUUAGCUAGUUGGUGAGGUAACGGCUCACCAAGGCCACGAUGCAUAGCCGACCUGAGAGGGUGAUCGGCCACAUUGGGACUGAGACACGGCCCAAACUCCUACGGGAGGCAGCAGUAGGGAAUCUUCGGCAAUGGACGAAAGUCUGACCGAGCAACGCCGCGUGAGUGAAGAAGGUUUUCGGAUCGUAAAACUCUGUUGUUAGAGAAGAACAAGGAUGAGAGUAACUGUUCAUCCCUUGACGGUAUCUAACCAGAAAGCCACGGCUAACUACGUGCCAGCAGCCGCGGUAAUACGUAGGUGGCAAGCGUUGUCCGGAUUUAUUGGGCGUAAAGCGAGCGCAGGCGGUUUCUUAAGUCUGAUGUGAAAGCCCCCGGCUCAACCGGGGAGGGUCAUUGGAAACUGGGAGACUUGAGUGCAGAAGAGGAGAGUGGAAUUCCAUGUGUAGCGGUGAAAUGCGUAGAUAUAUGGAGGAACACCAGUGGCGAAGGCGGCUCUCUGGUCUGUAACUGACGCUGAGGCUCGAAAGCGU
rnacentral:rRNA from 1 species